GUGAGGAAUAUUGCGCAAUGGAGGCAACUCUGACUCAGCCAUGCCGCGUGCAGGAAGAAGGCGCUACGCGUUGUAAACUGCUUUUAACCGGGAAGAAACCCCAGGACGUGUCCUGGGUUGACGGUACCGGAGGAAUAAGCACCGGCUAACUUCGUGCCAGCAGCCGCGGUAAUACGAAGGGUGCAAGCGUUAUCCGGAUUCAUUGGGUUUAAAGGGUGCGUAGGCGGAGCGUUAAGUCAGUGGUGAAAUCCUGCAGCUUAACUGUAGACUUGCCAUUGAUACUGGCGCUCUUGAGUGCGCUUGAAGUGGGCGGAAUGUGCCGUGUAGCGGUGAAAUGCUUAGAUAUGGCACAGAACACCAAUUGCGAAGGCAGCUCACUAAGGCGAUACUGACGCUGAGGCACGAAAGCGUGGGGAUCGAACAGGAUUAGAAACCCCGGUAGUCC
rnacentral:rRNA from 1 species